CGUUUAUUUAAAUUAUAAUACGUGUGUUAACUUCUUCGUCGGGCUUAUUUCUGUUUAUUCUUUUCUUUUUUUUUUUUUUUUUUUUUUUUUUUUUGUAAUCGAGUCAUGUGAAAAAAAUAAUUAACAACCGCCCUUAUAACAAUAUCAUACAAUAAUAUUACGCACGUAGUCGCGUUGUUCGUGCACGUUUAUGUUAUUUAUCGCGAUAUUAUUAUAAUUAAUAUAAUAUUAUGAACAACAUAAUACGUAAAUAAACAUCAUAAUACGCGUCGUAGAAUAAAAUUUAACAACAUGUCACCCUGACUCGCGAUGUGUCAGUAACAUUCGUACAACAUAUUAUUACGAAAUUUACCGGCGUGGGAGAGGCGUAUUUAUGAGAGCGAGGAAGGGAAUGUGCGAGAUGAAUUUUCGCCUAAAUCUUUUUUUUUUUUUUUUUACCUAUUAUAUACUAUUUAAGACGAUCCGCAAAAAGUGUUUACAUGCGAAAAAAAUUGACUUUUUUUUUAAAAUUACAUUAAUUGUAUACAUAGGUACGCACUUUUCUGCGACUGUGCGAUAUUUCAAUUUU